UACGUAGGGACCGAGCGUUGUCCGGAAUCAUUGGGCGUAAAGAGCGUGUAGGCGGCUAUUUAAGUCCUGCGUGAAAUCCUGCGGCUCAACCGCAGACGGGCGUGGGAAACUGGAUGGCUAGAGUGCGGGAGAGGAGAGUGGAAUUCCCGGUGUAGCGGUGAAAUGCGCAGAUAUCGAGAUGAACACCUGCGGCGAAGGCGGGUUGCUGGGCUGACACUGACGCUGAUGCGCGAAAGCUAGGGGAGCGAACGGA
rnacentral:rRNA from 1 species